rnacentral:rRNA from 1 species
UACGGGGGGAGCAAGCGUUGUUCGGAUUUACUGGGCGUAAAGGGCGCGUAGGCGGCCAGCACAAGUCAGUUGUGAAAUCUCCGAGCUUAACUCGGAAAGGUCAACUGAUACUGUGCGGCUAGAGUGCGGAAGGGGCAACUGGAAUUCUUGGUGUAGCGGUGAAAUGCGUAGAUAUCAAGAGGAACACCUGCGGCGAAGGCGGGUUGCUGGGACGGUACUGACGCUGAGACGCGAAAGCGUGGGGAGCGAACAGG